rnacentral:tRNA from 1 species
GCGCCCGUAGCUCAAUUGAACAGAGCGCGUGGCUUCGGACCACGAGGUUCCAGGUUUGAGCCCUGGCGGGCGCG